AGCCAGACAUUACAAGGACUUGCAGCACGACUGCCAGAAAGGGACUUUACGCACUGACAAUCGCUCCUGAGAAUUUCCACGUCACAGAGACUGCUAUGACGUGAGGUACAGAAUCCAAGCCUUGUUUUUCAAGACUUUGUCUAAAGCUUUACUAGUGUUAAUGUUGAGGCAGUCACCUUGGUGGCUGAAGCUGCGCUCCUUUUUGGUUUCCGGCCUAUAAUCCAUGAGCGAGAUUUGAUGAAGGAUACAUUGUCAAGAUUGUCAAAUUUCAUUUCAGAAGACGAAUCAUGCAUGUCAAUCUGGCUGCUUGUGCUCCAAGUGGACUCUGGGAAAUUCAGAAAAGUAGCCUGCACUAUGUCACUUCAAAGACCAUAAUGCUAAUCCCUGAUGAAAUUAAGUGCACUAAUUGAAUUCAGAGCCUAUUCAGAGUGAAAUUAGUCUUCUUAUUAUUUUUCAUAAAAGUAAUAUUAGCAUCAAUUUCCAUUUCUUCAAGACUGACAGGUAGAAGAUGCUGGUUCCUUUGUGGGCGUGCUCCUGGCACCAUAUAGACACAUCCUGGAGCUCAUGUUUGCUCUCACUAUUCAGUUUUGAGGAUGGAGCUGUACCUUGGACAAUUAGCCCUGUCAUUUGCAGUAAAUUGGGCAACAUUUUGACAUUGUUUUUUGGACACGUGCAUGAGGGGCCAGUAGAGUACAGAUUGGUAGGAGGAGCAACGGUAACUAGACUGCAGAAGAGUUGCCGAUGAGAAAGGUUGCCGAUGAAGGGACGAUUGAGUAUGGCUAAGUCCAGGAGUGGUGGCGCGUUCCUAACCGAUGACCAGUAUCAAUGUUUGCCGAUGGCGAUAGCAGGAAGAUUGCCGAUGGCUCCGCGGGAGUUGCCGAUUGACCCGUGGCGGUGUCCUGGUCGAUUACAAGGGGAUAGUUUUGUGUUUUUCUUAGUUAUUUAAAUCGUUUUGUAUACGGAUUCUGUUUAAUUUGGAAUUCGAGUCCUAGUCGUGUCUGAUUGUAGCUCUUUGAGCAGGGUAUAAAUGUAGACCCUAGGGCCUUGUAAGAAGAUAUCUAUCAAUUAAUCAAACACAAGUUUUUAC
rnacentral:lncRNA from 1 species